rnacentral:rRNA from 1 species
GUAACAAGGUUUCCGUAGGUGAACCUGCGGAAGGAUCAUUACAGUAUUUGGACGUAAUUCUUCUAGUAUCUUGCCAGCGCUUAAUUGCGCGGCUGGUGCUAUUAGAAGUCCAUAAGUUCUUACACACAGUGUUUUUUUUUGUUUGUGAAAAAAAUUUACUUUGGUCUGGAACUAGAAAUAGUUUUGGGCCAGAGGGCAACUUAACUUCAAUUUAUAUUGAAUUGUUUUUAAAUUUAUUUGUCAAAUUAUUGAUAUUAAUCAAAAAUCUUCAAAACUUUCAACAACGGAUCUCUUGGUUCUCGCAUCGAUGAAGAACGCAGCGAAAUGCGAUAAGUAAUAUGAAUUGCAGAUUUUCGUGAAUCAUCGAAUCUUUGAACGCACAUUGCGCCCUUUGGUAUUCCAAAGGGCAUGCCUGUUUGAGCGUCAUUUCUCUCUCAAACCGCAAGGUUUGGUGUUGAGCAAUAUAGAUAUUUCGGUAUCUAUUUGCUUGAAAUGGAUUGGCAUGAGUAUUUACAGUAGAUAAAUGCCGUUUGACUCUUCAAUGUAUUAGGUCUAACCAACUCGUUGAAACAGUUAGCGGUAGUAUCUGUGUAAAAGAGGCUCGGCCUUACAACAAUCUACAAAGUUUGACCUCAAAUCAGG